CGAACGGCUGGCGGCGUGCCUAAUACAUGCAAGUCGAACGGUCUUUCUAUGGAAGCUUGCUUCCACUGAGAAGAUAGUGGCGAACGGGUGAGUAACAACGUGGGUAACCUGCCCAUAAGAGGGGGAUAACAUCCGGAAACGGGUGCUAAUACCGCAUAGUUUUCUUGAUCGCAUGAUCGGGAAAGGAAAGACGGCCUUUGUGCUGUCGCUUAUGGAUGGACCCGCGGCGUAUUAGUUAGUUGGUGAGGUAACGGCUCACCAAGACGAUGAUACGUAGCCGACCUGAGAGGGUGAUCGGCCACAUUGGGACUGAGACACGGCCCAAACUCCUACGGGAGGCAGCAGUAGGGAAUCUUCCGCAAUGGACGAAAGUCUGACGGAGCAACGCCGCGUGAGUGAAGAAGGUUUUCGGAUCGUAAAACUCUGUUGUCAGGGAAGAACAAGUUGGAGAGUAACUGCUCCAGCCUUGACGGUAUCUGACCAGAAAGCCACGGCUAACUACGUGCCAGCCGCCGC
rnacentral:rRNA from 1 species